UACAGAGGGGGCCAGCGUUCUUCGGAAUUAUUGGGAGUAAAGGGCGCGUAGGCGGCCAUGCGUGUCUUCCGUGAAAUCCCUCGGCUUAACUGAGGACGUGCGGAAGAAUCUGCAAGGCUUGAGUCCGGGAGAGGGGGGUGGAAUUCCCGGUGGAGCGGUGAAAUGCGUAGAUAUCGGAAGGAACACCGGUGGCGAAAGCGGCGCGCUGGAUCUCUUCUGACGCUGAUGCGCGAAAGCCAGGGGAGCAAACGGG
rnacentral:rRNA from 1 species